AAAAACUUGUGACCCAACCAACUCCUGGGGAUUAUGUAAUGCUUGCUUAUCACCAUUGAUGUGGGGAUUAACAACCAAAAACUAUUGCUUGAUGAGUUUUAUAUUGGUCUCAAACACAAGAAUGCCACUCGAAAGGAAUAUUAUGACUUACUUGAAGAGUUAUGUCUGCAGUCAAGCAAAGCUAUGGUCAAAAAGUGUUUGUGCAGUGUCUCUUAAAACUUAGAUUUACCCAAUAGCUCAUAAAUGUACCUAUCAGCCAAAUAUAAAACCACUCAGUUGGCGUUCAGUGA